UCUUCUAAUCCACAUUAAAAACAUGAUUUUAAAAAUUAUUAUACUUAUCGUUUGUGGGGAACUGAUCCAAAGCAUCCGAAUGUCUGAAUUGUGAAACUAACUUUGCAGUUCCGUCUUCCAAAGUGCUUAAGUUAGUUUCCUACUUUUACUGGAGUUCAUUAAACUGUACGUUUCCGGGCUGGAUUCAUUUACGAAAUCGAAACUGAGAUGAGGCAGAUUUCCGGAAAGUUAUGUUCAUGUACGUCGUGUGGAUGUGAAUAUAAAAUAAAAGGCUAUACGGAAAUACGAGUUGCGCAGCAUAGAAUAAGGAAAAGAGAGAAGAAAACUUAAGUAUUGAGAGCAUGAGCCCCGUGUCGGGUAUUUCAUUGGCGGACUGCGAUACCCGGAAGCUGCUUUCUUUGCAGAAUGCAGAUAUAAUCCCGGAGCCCUGAUUGUCUAAACCAUGGCGCACCGUUCCCAUGAAGAGGUCUCACUCGCUGGCCUCUUGCUGGAUUACCUGAAGGAGCUCAGUGAUGCCCAGCUGAAGGAGUUUAAAUGGAACCCGAGUCACAUGGGGCAUAAAGAGUUAAAAGGACUUGAAGGACUUGAAUAGAAUGACAUCGCCGGCAUAAUGAUAAAUUCCUACUGUGAAGACUCAUGCUUGAAAUCCUGGGGAAGAUGAACCUGAAUGACCUUGCUCAGAGACUGAAUAAAGACCUGCAGAGGAGUAACGAGGCAGGAAGAGAGCUGGAUGAAGGAACUACUGGUCUGUGGUGUGCUCAAUACUCUACAAGUCAAUAAAAACCAAUAAAAUCUCAUUAUCACACUUUACUUUAACUAAUGUGGCAUGAAAAGUGUGGAUGAGAAGUACAAAGAUGUCCAAAGACAUAUUAAAAUGAGACUUUCAUGAGAAGUUUCAAUGUAUAUUUGAGGCAUUGCCAAAACAAGGGAAGACCAUCUUCCUCAAUGAUAUCUACACGGAGCUGUACAUCACAGAAGCUGGGAAUGGCAGAGUAAAUAAUGAACAUGAGAUUCUAGAAUUCUGAAUCCUGGAAAAAUGCUUCCCCAGAACACACCACCAAAUGCAGUGAAAACCAAGAUAUUGAUUUUGCAUUUAAUUCUUCCUUUCCGUGACCUAAAUCGGUUGAAAAAGAAGCAGUAUAGCCUCAUUCAGCUUAUUCAUCAGCACUUUCUAGAAAUGAAGGAAACAGAAAAGAUCACAUGGGGGAAAAUUGUGUUUAUCCUUGAUGGCCUGGAUGAAUGACAUCUUACCCUUAAUUUCAAAGACAAUGAGACCUGGUGUGAUGCAACGGAUACCACUACAGUUGAUGUGCUGUUAAUCAACCUUAUCACAGGUGUUACAUGAAUGCACACGUUGGUAUUUUUGUGUGUGUACAUGUGCCUCUGUUCUUUUGCCAGGUCACCGGAUCCAGCUGGGGGGGCUUGGGACUUUGCUCCGCCUCUUCCUUGUCAAGUAGGAGGGGCUUGACCUACAAAAAGCUGGUUCUGUUGCUGCUCUGAGUCUGCUUUGCUGCUGCUCUAAUGCUGUUGCUGCUAUUCAGCUCUGCUGUUUUGUGCUGUAUAAUAAGAGUGUGACGCUACUGAUGUGAAAUGCUGUUCCUGAGAGGUGUUGAGGUAUGGAGUGGAGGCAACCAUGGUUAGCAUGUGCACGCAUAUACACUCUAGUGUAGCUGACCAAACUCUUAAAAACACAAGGUAUGGGGCAGGUACCACUUGGUGUACGUUUGGUUCUCCUUCCCUCCGCUCUCCUCUGGAUAAGCUCCCAGCAGGCAGCAGCCAAUCAGAUCCCUCCUGACUGCAUCCAAUAGCUGACGCAUUUAAUGAUGCACAGAAGGAAGAAUACUUCAUGAAAAGGUUCAGCAACAAGGCCCUGGGCAACAAAAUUGCUGCACACAUUAAAUCAUCAAGGACCUUGUUCAUCAUGUGCCGUAUUACAAUCUUCUGCUGGAUUUCAGAAACUGUCCUUGAGCGACUAAUAGGUAACGAACUCGGCAAAGAAAUACCCCAAACUCUGACCCAAAUGUACACUCACUUACUGCUCAUUCAAAUAAGCCUUAAAACCAGAAAUAUCAAGGGAAGUAUUUGACGAAUUCAAAAACAUUGUCAAAGGAAGAUAAAAUACUAUUCGCAAACUUGGUGAGCUCUCUCUUCAUGCUCUGGAAAACCUGAUAUUUUAUGAAGAGGAUCUGAGAUCUUGUGGCAUCGCUACCAAUGAAGCAUCUGUGUAUUCCCCUCUAUUCACAGAAAUCUUUAUAGAGGAGUAUGGGUUGUAUCAAGAAAAAGCAUAUAGCUAAAUACACCUGAGCUUUCAGCGGUAUCUUGCUGCUCUGUAUGCCGUUUACAAAUUCACACACGAGAACAAAAAUGCAUUGGACCCAGACUAUGGGGUAGAAAAACAAGAACAAUGUGAAGUGUCAAAUGAUCAUGAUGUCAACUCAGGAAACAUGGGAGAAUCAGAAAGAUCAGAUUGCAUGAUAAAUGAUGAUGCGAAUGCAAUUAAGGAGAAAAAAUUAAAUAUUUUUGAAUAUUGCAAGUAUCUAUACCAUGUCUCCAAACCAAAGAGAGACUCAUUGCUUGUUUUACACAAAAGUGCCAUAUACCAGGCCUUGUGGAAUAAAAACGGGCAUCUGGACCUUUUUCUCCAGUUCCUUCUGGGCUUCUCAUUAGAAUCUAAUCAGACUUUGCUGCAAGGUCUGCUGACAUCAACAAAAAAUGCAAACUGUACUGCUGAGGACACAGUGGAGUGCAUCGAGGGCUUGAUCAGGAUGGACUUUUCUCCAGAUAGAAUUAUCAAUCUGUUCCACUGUCUGAAUGAAAUGAAUGACCAUUCUCCAGAGAAGGAAAUCCAGACAUACUUGAAAGCAAGAAAUCUUACAGAUGUCAAACUGGAAGCAUUCCAAUGUUCAGCUUUUCUCAUCUGUGAAAAGCACAGGGCACCAGUGGCAGACCUGCAAAUUCUUGUAUUCUAUGGCAAAAGCCAAUCGAGCUCCACGGUGCCUGUGACUACCUGUCUCCUGGAAUCUCCUCCAUGCCCUUGAGACUGUGCUGGAAGAUACAGUAAACCUUCUGGCAAUGACACGUAUUGAUGCGCAAUCCUGGAGGGGUUGGACGACCUGUGCAAUUUCUGUAGGGUCCAGGUAUUGCCUCAUGCUACCAGUAGUAACACUGACCGUAGCCAAAUGCAAAACUAAUGAAAAAUAGUUAAACCUAUUACAUGCGUCUGCAAAAUCAAAUCCAGCGAUUCACCUUCUGGUCAUUGCAAGGUACUACCUCCUAAAAGACAAAAUGCAUUUUGUGGUGCCUUUCAUGACUCAGCAAAAGAUAAAAUGCAUUUUGUGAUUCUGCAGAAUCAAUUUUGUCCAUGAAAUGACUGCGUAUCAUUCACAAAAUGCAUUUGGUCCACAAAAUGACUUCCUUUAAUUCACAGAAUACAUUUUGUCCACAAAAUGACUUUCUUUAAUUCAUAAAUUGCAUUUUGUCCACAAAAUGAUUCAAAUGUUCAAGUGUCAAGAUACUUGUUCUCCGUUGUUACGUCUGCAUGCGUCGAGUGGGGAAGCAGGCGAGAGAGCCCUGAAUGAUAUCCAAAACGGGGUUUAUUUCGGAUUGACAAGAUGACAGGGGAACACACGGCAAAUCCACGUCAAUGACAGACCUGGGGAAACAGACUUGAACGCGGACUAAAUACAGGACAUGACCUCAGAAUAAACGCAAGACAGCUGAUACGAUGGGAAUUGACACGGGGUUAACGAGGAGGGCGUGGCACACACGAGGACUGGACGCGCAGGUCAUGACAUCCGUCAUCAAUGUCGCCGGUCAAAUAUGGAGUACCACAGGGAUCAAUGCUUGGUCCUUUAUUGUUUUCUUUCUACUGUACAUGCUGCCAUUAGCAAACACAAUGAGAGAAUAUAAUGUUAACUAUCACUCCUAUGCCGACGACACCCAAAUAUACAUUUCGGUUACGUCAUCAACACCACAUCUAUUGUCACCUUAGCUAGUUGUUUUAAUGAAGUCAAGACCUGGAUGGCUGAAAUUUUUUUCUCACUAAACACUCAGAAAACUGAGGUUCUGUUGUUUAGAGGCAAGUCUGCAGAUAGGAAUUUUAUAAUCUCCGCACUCCACUCCAAAGGGCUGAACUUUUCCCUCAGCAGCUCUGCCCGUAACCUAGGUGUCAUGUUAUGUGGGUGUCACAUAACAUGACACCCACAUAACAGAGGUGUCAAAAUCACACUAUGAAGUAGCAGCCGGAGGAGAGUCAGACAUAAAAGUAUCAGCCAGGUCAAUGUCUGCGAGUUUACGUCGUUGGGCACGUGUGAGCACACAGGCCGAAAACACCUUGCGAUGUUCCACAGCAACAUCAUCUGUACCAAGCAUUGGUUCGGGAACGACUUCGGGCAGAGGAACAACUCCUUCCACCGCGAUGUCAUUCCCCAAAAUAAAUGAGAUACCCGGAAUGGGCAGGCGAGUCUGGACCGCAACACGUACAAAACCAGAGAAGUCAGGGGUAUUUAGAAAUACAUUGUGUAAAGGAACAGCCGUCACGCACAAAUCAAUGCCUUGUACCAGGACACUGGUACCACAAUACGACGCAUUAUCAAGAGGGACGAUGCCUUCCAUCAGAAACGAUUGGACAGCACCCGUAUCCCACAGGAUAGUCACAGGGUGUCGGGCGUCAGUCUCACUAAGCGAAACAGAACCAGUAAAUACGAAAGGUUCGAAAGCAGCGUCAAUACCGGAUGAGGGUGAAGAGCUGUCGGGGCAGGCAGCAACAUUCACCUUUCUGGUUGCUGCGGAAGAGGCGGCAGCUUCGUGACUUCGUUUGGCCGCUGUUUGCUUCUCGCCUGCUAGCUCGCUCUGAAUUCGCUUUGCCUUUGGUUUGUUUGCUCGUGUUUGACUGCUUUUGUUCUUGGUUUCCGAUUUUCGCCUCGUCCCUUAUUGUACCUUCGCCCCGGUUUUGACUGUCUGCUUGGUUUUGAACUUUCGCUCGUACUCCGACUUCGCCUCUCUGAUCUCCCCUCUGGAUACUGUCGCUUCGGCUGUGUGUUUGUGUGUUCCACUAGGUGUGUGUAAGGAGUGUCUGCCUUUUUGUUUCUUCGUCAACGUGGGGAUUACUGUUUGUUUGGUUAGGGAGAUACGCCUAGGCAUUGUUGUUUCGUUUCACCUUUUUGUUGUGCUCACUUAGGAUUAACUUAGCUUGUGGUUGUUUUCGGUAGGUGUGUUUUUGUUUGUUUCUUUGGCCUUUGUCACUCAUGACGUUCGUUACACCGAGUGUUUGUGAAGUGUCUGUGAAAAACUAUUUAAAAAAACAUAAAAAGACUCCCUUUGUGUCCCGUGUUCCCUUCUCCUACUCCUGGUUGUCUUGUCGUUCCCAAUCCCUGCUUCCCUUUCACUUUGUUAGGCUCCAACCCUUGACUGGAGCGUAACAGUCAUCUUAGAUACUGUACAAGCCUCUUAUUCAACUCACAUGUGGAUGCAGUAUUGAAGACGUGCUCCCUACAGCUACAUCACAUCGCCAAACUGACGGAUUUCUUACUAUUCAGGACACAGAGAAAUUGAUACAUGCCUUUGAAUAAAGUAGGUUAGACUACUGUAAUGCUCAGUUAUCUGGGAGGACACACUGCAUAUUAAAUACCUUGCUGUGUAUUCAAAAUGCAGCAGCUCGAAUUGUCACCAGAUGGAGGAAGCUUGAACACAUACCCCCUGUUCUUAGUUCCUUUACGUUUAGAGCUGGCUUCAAAGUUCUCCUAUUUACAUAUAAGGCACUUAAAGGUCUACCUCCUGCCUACCUGACAGAAUUACUUCAAGUUUACAGGUCGCAUUGUCCACUCAGAUCAUAGAAUGUAAGUUUCCUUGUCGUUCCACAUAUAAAUAAAGUGAGAGCGGGCGGUAAAGCAUUCUGUUACAGGGUCCCUAUAUUGUGGAGUGAUUAUAUUAACCAAACUAUGGGCUGUACUGUGCCACACAGGGGACUUGUUGUUCUGCAACCUAUGGCAGAGCAAUAUUGAUUUUGUCAUGACCUGCUUGUACGGUCCUUCCGUGUGCCACGUCCCCUCGUUACCUCGUGUGAAACCCUGAUUGUUCCCAGCUGUUUGUUAUUUCCGGCUUGUCCUGUGUGUUUUAGUCCGCGUUCGAGUACGUUUCCCUCGGUUAGUCAUUAACGUUGCCUGUGAGUGAAAUCUUUGUCCGGUAAAUAAACCCUGUUUGCCCACA